UGGUGUAAUAGUCCUUGGCCUUCUGGAAC
rnacentral:piRNA from 1 species